UACGAAGGGUGCAAGCGUUACUCGGAAUUACUGGGCGUAAAGCGUGCGUAGGUGGUGAGUUAAGUCUGCCGUGAAAGCCCCGGGCUCAACCUGGGAAUGGCGAUGGAUACUGGCUCGCUAGAGUGCGGUAGAGGAGAGUGGAAUUCCCGGUGUAGCAGUGAAAUGCGCAGAUAUCAGGAAGAACACCCGUGGCGAAGGCGGCUCUCUGGGACGGUACUGACGCUGAGACGCGAAAGCGUGGGGAGCGAACAGG
rnacentral:rRNA from 1 species